GACGAACGCUGGCGGCGUGCCUAAUACAUGCAAGUCGAACGGUUUAGUUCCAAGAGGCUUGCCUUUUGGAACUAGACAGUGGCGGACGGGUGAGUAACACGUAGGCAACCUACCUGUCAAACCGGGAUAACCUCGGGAAACCGAAGCUAAACCCGGAUAAGCUCCUUUUUCGCAUGAAGGGGGAGUGAAAAGGUGCGACCUGAUGACAGAUGGGCCUGCGGCGCAUUAGCUAGUAGGUAGGGUAACGGCCUACCUAGGCGAUGAUGCGUAGCCGACCUGAGAGGGCGUACGGCCACACUGGGACUGAGAUACGGCCCAGACUCCUACGGGAGGCAGCAGUAGGGAAUCUUCGGCAAUGGGCGAAAGCCUGACCGAGCAACGCCGCGUGUGUGAGGAAGGCCUUCGGGUUGUAAAACUCUGUUGUUUGGGAAGAAGGGAAAGGGUAGGACCCUUAGGUGACGGUACCAAACGAGAAAGCCCCGGCUAACUACGUG
rnacentral:rRNA from 1 species